GUGAUAUAUUUUCGGGAAAUAACACGAAUUACAGGAUGCGAACAAUGAUGUAAAAUAAGUUUACGAAGGGGGCCCUUUACUUCACUUUGCCAUCCUUUGAGAUAAAAAUCUCUCGCGUUCCGCGAAAGAAGAUUAUCCCGACCCUGAGAUCGAUCCCUCCCUUCUCUUUCAUUCUAUCCUCUUCUUGGAACGAAAAAAAAA